UACGUAGGGGGCAAGCGUUGUCCGGAAUCAUUGGGCGUAAAGCGCGUGUAGGCGGCUCGGUAAGUCCGCUCUGAAAGUCCGGGGCUCAACCCCGGGAGGCGGGUGGAUACUGUCGAGCUAGAGUCCGGAAGAGGCGAGUGGAAUUCCUGGUGUAGCGGUGAAAUGCGCAGAUAUCAGGAGGAACACCAAUGGCGAAGGCAGCUCGCUGGGACGGUACUGACGCUGAGACGCGAAAGCGUGGGGAGCAAACGGG
rnacentral:rRNA from 1 species